GACGAACGCUGGCGGCGUGCUUAACACAUGCAAGUCGAACGGAAAGGCCCUGCUUUUGUGGGGUGCUCGAGUGGCGAACGGGUGAGUAACACGUGAGUAACCUGCCCUUGACUUUGGGAUAACUUCAGGAAACUGGGGCUAAUACCGGAUAGGAGCUCCUGCUGCAGGGUGGGGGUGGGAAAGUUUCGGCGGUUGGGGAUGGACUCGCGCCUUAUCAGCUUGUUGGUGGGGUAGUGGCUUACCAAGGCUUGGACGGGUAGCCGGCCUGAGAGGGUGACCGGCCACAUUGGGACUGAGAUACGGCCCAGACCCCUACGGGAGGCAGCAGUGGGGAAUAUUGCACUAUGGGCGGAAGCCUGAUGCAGCCACGCCGCGUGCGGGAUGACGGCCUUCGGGUUGUAUACCGCUUCCGCCUGUCAAGAAGCGUGAGUGACGGUAAUGGGUAAAGAAGCACCGGCUAACUACGUG
rnacentral:rRNA from 1 species